UUGGGAGCUCACCCAUAUGGUCGACCUGCAGGCGGCCGCGAAUUCACUAGUGAUUAGAGUUUGAUCAUGGCUCAGAGCGAACGCUGGCGGCAGGCUUAACACAUGCAAGUCGAACGGUCCUUCGGGAUAGUGGCGGACGGGUGAGUAACACGUGGGAACGUACCCUUAGGUUCGGAACAACACAGGGAAACUUGUGCUAAUACCGGAUGAGCCCUUCGGGGGAAAGAUUUAUCGCCUUUGGAGCGGCCCGCGUCUGAUUAGCUAGUUGGUGAGGUAAUGGCCCACCAAGGCGACGAUCAGUAGCUGGUCUGAGAGGAUGGCCAGCCACACUGGGACUGAGACACGGCCCAGACUCCUACGGGAGGCAGCAGUGGGGAAUCUUGCGCAAUGGGCGAAAGCCUGACGCAGCCAUGCCGCGUGGAUGAUGAAGGUCUUAGGAUUGUAAAAUCCUUUCACCGGGGACGAUAAUGACGGUACCCGGAGAAGAAGCCCCGGCUAACUUCGUGCCAGCAGCCGCGGUAAUACGAAUCGAAUUCCCGCGGCCGCCAUGGCGGCCGGGAGCAUGCGAC
rnacentral:rRNA from 1 species